UUUAGCUCCAUUCAGCUCCAUGCAUUGAGGACUCCCUCGCGGGCUCCCUCUAGCGGUGAUGGGGUAUAAUGUGAUAUAGCGGGGGAGGGGGCGGGGCUCUACAUAACCCGGAUGAGGCUGAGCUUCCGGUGUCUGUAGUUGGAGCGCCGGAGGAAGAGCAGGAUCAGCUGAACUACAGAAGAAUAUUCCAAGGUUUCUCCUGAUUUUCAUCCCUACCAACAACCAGGAUAUUUAACUAAGAUCAGUGUUAAACUGCUGAAAGCGGUGAAGCACUAGCCACCCUGAAGAAUCUCCAGAACACCCAGAAAUUGUUUGCUACAUUUAACAGAAGCCAAGUCCCGACAUGGAGAAACAUCAGCAAUCUGUCAAGAGUUUUACUAAACAGAGUGAUCUCAAAAAACACCAGCGCAUUCACACAGGAGAGAGACCGUAUCACUGCUCAGACUGUGGAAAGAGUUUUAAUCAUCAGAAUGAUCUCAAAAUACACCAGCGCAUUCACACAGGAGAGAAACCGUAUCACUGCUCCGACUGUGGAAAGAGUUUUACUCAACAGAGUAAUCUCAAAAUACACCAGCGCAUUCACACAGGAGAGAAACCGUAUCACUGUUCUGACUGUGGAAAGAGUUUUACUCUACAGAGUACUCUCAAAAUACACCAGCGCAUUCACACAGGAGAGAAACCAUAUUACUGCUCAGACUGUGGAAAGAGUUUUACUCUACAGAGUCAUCUCAAAAUACACCAACGCAUUCACACAGGAGAGAAACCGUAUUACUGCUCCGACUGUGGGAAAAGUUUUACUACACAAAGUGAACUCAAAAUACAUCAGCGCAUUCACACAGGAGAGAAACCGUAUUACUGCUCAGACUGUGGAAAAUGUUUUACUACACAGCGUCAUCUCAAAAAACACCAGUGCAUUCACACAAGAUAGAAACCGUAUCAGUGCUCAGACUUUUGGAAGUGUUUUACUCAACAGUGUAAUCUCAAACUGCACCAGUGCAUUUACCAAUGCCUUUUUAUUGGUUCAGAAAAAUGAUUCUUAUCCAGGGAUGAUAUUUAUAGAAUUCCACGUUAUGUUUUCAUAUAUGUUUAAAUACCUACAUUUGUUCAAGCCCACAGAGAUCUCCACCACUAGUUAAACAUGUGUUUUAAACACAGAAUCAUACAUGUUACCGCUAACUUCAUAAAUUAAGAACAAAUAUUUUAUAAUCCUGAUAUGUUGCACCUUUUUCAUGAUAUGAAUGUUAAAAAAUGGUAAAAACUUUACUGUUUUACAGGUGCACUGCAUUGGCCUUUAGAACUAAUAAUAUAUUUAAAGAGUGUGGAUUUGCUUAGUUGAGUAUGCCUUGCCAUAAGUAAGAAAGGGUAAUUUAGGUGAGUUUAUAUAUUUAAUUCUGACAGUGUUCAUUUAAAGCGGCGGAACGUUUAUUGUCUUUAUGGUUUACGUGCUUUGCAGCGCAGUAAACUUGCAGACCAAUCACAUGUGCUGUAAGAUCACCACACGCUCUCCUCUGCCAAUCAGAUCUGUGCAGAUGCGAGAGCGCGGAGCCACAUGUAACAUGGAGGAGGCCGGAUGCAAACGCAAGUCGGUUUUAUUAGACAUAUUACAAACCAAGAAACUAGGACAAGAAAAUAAACACUAUGACUAUAAAACAAAGGACUAAACCCGGUCCAAACAAACAAAGAAGUAAAAUAAACUAACAAAGAAUCAAACAAUAUAAAGAAAAAAAACCAGAACUCCGUAGACAAAACACAGAUUAACAUCCAGACAGUGUUGAACAGGACAGCAUCAAACAAAAAAAAGCACAGAGACUGGACUGUGGAUGGGAACAUAGACUGGACAGGGGGCUGAGACUGGACGAAAGAUUGGACAGGGGGCUGAGACUGGACACCAGACAGAGAUGAAGACUGGACAGGGGACAAGGACUGGACACUAGAAAGAGAUGGAAACCAGGGACGGGAUUAUGAAAAUUACAGACCAACUAAGUGCGUAAGCCUAUUUAAUCCAUUCCUUGGCUUUCCAAAAUGCGAUAGUAAAUUAGAUGCAACAUUGGGGAUUAAAAUUAACAUGGCAGCUGGUCAAGGUUAAAUAUAAAAAUAUACCAGAAAAAAAACAGCUGUUGGUGCUACUGGUGGUGAUGUCAAUCAUUGCCUACAGCCUUCAAUGUUGGCUGCUCUUUUUAUAGCCUACAUUUUUUUGCUAAUUUAUAUCACCUGUAUAAACAUAUCGGUAGGGUAGUUGUCUUUACCCAUUCACUUUUUGCAUCAUUAAAUUAACCAAACAUUUAUACUAUUUAUAUUGAACCAAUAUGAUCACAUAUGUGAAUUGAUGUAAUUAUGGAAUUUUAGAUAUACUUCAAAGUAACUUCAUCUAAAGUACCUGGGCAUCAAUAAUACUAAUAAAUGUGUGUUUGUGAUAUAGAGUUUAUGCAAAUAAAUCUUUGUGGAAAAUAACUGUGAUUAAAUACUGGAUUUCAUUUUACACUGGCCUGAAUUUGUUAAGAUUGAACCAAUUAAUUGCAAAAAAUGUUCAGACACAUUACCAAUACAGUGCAAUACUUAAUUAAAUGUAUAGAAAUAUUAUAUGAUCUGCUGCAUCCACUGCAAUUUAUUGGAUAAAACCAUGGCGAAACCUUGUUCUUGGAUUUUGUUUCCCACGUGCAAGGCUAAGGCGUCACACGGCUCAUCCAAUAGAAGUGCUGCAGCCAAGCUAAGCGUCAACUCUAGCCUGGGACAGAGCAGGUUUGUUUAAACGUAUAUGUUGCUAUAGUAACUUGACGAAGUCUAGCCUCUUUCGUGGAGCCGAAAUUUGAGCAAAAUGAGCCAGGCCUGUCUUAUUAAGCCUGGCUUACUGAGUUAGCUCGCUUCGUGGAACAGCCCCCUGGACUGUUUACCAUUUUGGAUUUUUGGAUCACCUCUGACAUGGCUGCCUCGUGUAUGAACAUUGGACUGCCUUUCGACUCUGGUAUGGUCUUUGCCUCCAGGUAUCUGUUUGCUGGCGUUAUUUACUCUUUGCUCUUUGACUUUUGUACACCCUGUGGGGUUUUAAUAAACAUCUUAACUGGA